GGGCAUAUGCACUAUCAGUGUAUAAGAUGCCCCCAGAUUUUUAACCUUAUUUUAAAGUCAAAAAACCUAGUCUUAUACACGGAAAAGUACAGUAUUUUCAAGUUCUGGCUGUCUUUUCCCUCAGGGGUAGAGCAUAGAGUAAAGAGACCCACUCUCCACAUCAAGGGUGGGGAACAUUUUUUGUCUUAUUAUGGGGUGCACUUCACCCUGACUCAAUGUCACCUGCUUGCCUUGUUGUUGUUGUUUAGUCGUUUAGUCGUGUCCGACUCUUCGUGACCCCAUGGACCAGAGCACGCCAGGCACUCCUGUCUUCCACUGCCUCCCGCAGUUUGGUCAAACUCACGUUCGUAGCUUCGAGAACACUGUCCAACCAUCUCGUCCUCUGUCGUCCCCCUCUCCUUGUGCCCUCCAUCUUUCCCAACAUCAGGUUCUUUUCCAGGGAGUCUUCUCUUCUCAUGAGGUGGCCAAAGUAUUGGAGCCUCAGCUUCAGGAUCUGUCCUUCCAGUGAGCACUCAGGGCUGAUUUCCUUCAGAAUGGAGAGGUUUGAUCAUUUUGCAGUCCAUGGGACUCUCAAG